UUUCCGUAGGUGAACCUGCGGAAGGAUCAUUAAUGAGUUGUCAUGGGGUUCGAUGCUGGCAGCCAGUUUUUGGAUGCAUGUGCUUGCCCUAACAAUCAUCUUCUUCCAAACACCUGUGCACAUUUUUGAGGGAGUCUUGAGUUGGUUGCCGCUCUUGGGUGAUUUUCUCGCAUUCCCUUAAAUCAUUAUACGCUAUUAACAAUGUUGAACGUGCUCUGUGCCGCAAGGCCAUUAAUAUAAUACAACUUUUAACAACGGAUCUCUUGGCUCUC
rnacentral:misc_RNA from 1 species